GGGAUUGCUGGUGCUGUUCUCCCUUCCACCUGCUAGGCUUCAAGAGUUUGACUAUGCAUGAUCUUCACGUAUGCACAUAACCCUUCAAACUGAACCCGUGAGUAAAAUGAGGGAUUGCUGUAUCUUCCAAAGGUGCAGCUUUUCUGGAGUAUUUUAAAAAUCAAAGGUGGUGCCAGCUGAGCGAGUAACAAAAGAAACAUUCAGUCUAAGUGGCAGUGGAAGACAGGCGUGCCUGGUGUGCUAUGGUCCAUGGGGUCACGAAGAGUCGGACACGACUAAACAACAAAGCAACAAUAACAGCAUAAUGUGACUGACAACCAGCUACUGUACAACUUCACACUUAAGAACAAUGGAUCAACAGUAGCUAUACCAAUAUAAAUGGGCAAUGAACUUUGUUGGAUACAUCCCUCGAAACUUGGAAGAAGGCAACACAGCUGAAGAAAUGCUGCCAAGUGUUGGUGGUUGACUUGGAUUGUAUAUGGCUCAUCAAUUCAGCCUAUCAAAGAUUGUGACAGGCCAGGGCUCAUGGAGAAAAGACAAAAAUGACAACUAUUUGACUUUGUGGCAAC